rnacentral:rRNA from 1 species
CCUACGGGCGGCAGCAGUAGGGAAUCUUCCACAAUGGGCGAAAGCCUGAUGGAGCAACGCCGCGUGGGUGAAGAAGGUCUUCGGAUCGUAAAACUCUGUUGUUAGAGAAGAAAGUGCGUGAGAGUAACUGUUCACGUUUCGACGGUAUCUAACCAGAAAGCCACGGCUAACUACGUGCCAGCAGCCGCGGUAAUACGUAGGUGGCAAGCGUUAUCCGGAUUUAUUGGGCGUAAAGGGAACGCAGGCGGUCUUUUAAGUCUGAUGUGAAAGCCUUCGGCUUAACCGGAGUAGUGCAUUGGAAACUGGGAGACUUGAGUGCAGAAGAGGAGAGUGGAACUCCAUGUGUAGCGGUGAAAUGCGUAGAUAUAUGGAAGAACACCAGUGGCGAAAGCGGCUCUCGGGUCUGUAACUGACGCUGAGGUUCGAAAGCGUGGGUAGCAAACAGGAUUAGAUACCCUGGUAGUC